CGAGUACUCUUUCAACAGUGUUUACAACCCAGACUACGAUGCCAAUGAAAUCAACUAUGUCACCUACGCCGAGGACU
rnacentral:ribozyme from 1 species